GGAAACGGGCACUAAUACCGCAUACGUCCUGAGGGAGAAAGUGGGGGAUCUUCGGACCUCACGCUAUCAGAUGAGCCUAGGUCGGAUUAGCUAGUUGGUGGGGUAAAGGCCUACCAAGGCGACGAUCCGUAACUGGUCUGAGAGGAUGAUCAGUCACACUGGAACUGAGACACGGUCCAGACUCCUACGGGAGGCAGCAGUGGGGAAUAUUGGACAAUGGGCGAAAGCCUGAUCCAGCCAUGCCGCGUGUGUGAAGAAGGUCUUCGGAUUGUAAAGCACUUUAAGUUGGGAGGAAGGGCAGUAAGUUAAUACCUUGCUGUAUUGACGUUACCAACAGAAUAAGCACCGGCUAACUUCGUGCCAGCAGCCGCGGUAAUACGAAGGGUGCAAGCGUUAAUCGGAAUUACUGGGCGUAAAGCGCGCGUAGGUGGUUCAGCAAGUUGGAUGUGAAAUCCCCGGGCUCAACCUGGGAACUGCAUCCAAAACUACUGAGCUAGAGUACGGUAGAGGGUGGUGGAAUUUCCUGUGUAGCGGUGAAAUGCGUAGAUAUAGGAAGGAACACCAGUGGCGAAGGCGACCACCUGGACUGAUACUGACACUGAGGUGCGAAAGCGUGGGGAGCAAACAGGAUUAGAUAUCCUGGUAGUCCACGCCGUAAACGAUGUCGACUAGCCGUUGGGAUCCUUGAGAUCU
rnacentral:rRNA from 1 species